rnacentral:rRNA from 1 species
UACAGAGGGUGCGAGCGUUAAUCGGAAUUACUGGGCGUAAAGCGCGCGUAGGCGGCUUUGCAAGUCGGGUGUGAAAUCCCCAGGCUUAACCUGGGAACUGCAUUCGAGACUGCAUUGCUAGAGUAUGGGAGAGGGAAGUGGAAUUUCCGGUGUAGCGGUGAAAUGCGUAGAUAUCGGAAGGAACAUCAGUGGCGAAAGCGACUUCCUGGACCAAUACUGACGCUCAUGUGCGAAAGCUAGGGGAGCAAACGGG